GGGGCCUUAGCUCAGUUGGUAGAGCACUGCCUUUGCAAGGCAGGGGUCAGGGGUUCGAGUCCCCUAGGCUCCACAA
rnacentral:tRNA from 1678 species